rnacentral:rRNA from 1 species
AUUAGAUACCCUGGGUAGUCCACGCCGUAAACGAUGAAUACUAGGUGUGGGGGGUCUGACCCCCUCCGUGCCGGAGUUAACACAAUAAGUAUUCCACCUGGGGAGUACGGCCGCAAGGCUGAAACUCAAAGGAAUUGACGGGGGCCCGCACAAGCAGUGGAUUAUGUGGUUUAAUUCGACGCAACGCGAAGAACCUUACCGGGAUUUGACAUCCUACUAACGAAGCAGAGAUGCAUUAGGUGCCCUUCGGGGAAAGUAGAGACAGGUGGUGCAUGGUUGUCGUCAGCUCGUGUCGUGAGAUGUUGGGUUAAGUCCCGCAACGAGCGCAACCCUUAUUGUUAGUUGCUACGCAAGAGCACUCUAGCGAGACUGCCGUUGACAAAACGGAGGAAGGUGGGGACGACGUCAAAUCAUCAUGCCCCUUAUGUCCCGGGCUACACACGUAAUACAAUGGCGGCCAACAGAGCGAAGCAAGACCGCGAGGUGGAGCAAAUCGCUAAAAGCCGUCCCAGUUCGGAUCGCAGGCUGCAACUCGCCUGCGUCAAGUUGGAAUUGCUAGUAAUCGCGGAUCAGCAUGCCGCGGUGAAUACGUUCCCGGGCCUUGUACACACCGCCCGUCACACCAUGAGAGUCGGGAACACCCGAAGUCCGUAGUCUAACCGCAAGGAGGGCGCGGCCGAAGGUGGGUUCGAUAAUUGGGGUGAAGUCGUAACAAGGUAAC